GAUGAACGCUAGCGGCAGGCUUAAUACAUGCAAGUCGAGGGGCAGCAUGAUUGUAGCAAUACAAUUGAUGGCGACCGGCAAACGGGUGCGGAACACGUACACAACCUCCCAAUAAGUGGGGAAUAGCCCAGAGAAAUUUGGAUUAAUACCCCGUAACAUAACGAUGUGGCAUCACAUUGUUAUUAUAGAUUUUUCGCUUAUUGAUGGGUGUGCGGCUGAUUAGAUAGUUGGCGGGGUAACGGCCCACCAAGUCUACGAUCAGUAGCUGAUGUGAGAGCAUGAUCAGCCACACGGGCACUGAGACACGGGCCCGACUCCUACGGGAGGCAGCAGUGGGGAAUUUUGGACAAUGGGGGCAACCCUGAUCCAGCAAUGCCGCGUGCAGGAAGAAGGCCUUCGGGUUGUAAACUGCUUUUGUACGGAACGAAACGGUCUGGGUUAAUACCCUGGGCUAAUGACGGUACCGUAAGAAUAAGCACCGGCUAACUACGUGCCAGCCGCCGCAGUAACAC
rnacentral:rRNA from 1 species